UUGAAUGAACUUGGUGUGGUUGUUGCUGGCCCUCUCGGGGACAUGUGCACGCCCGCCAUCCUCAUCUCUCCACCUGUGCACCUUUUGUAGACAUGGAUUGACUUGCCGAGGCAACUCGGUUGGGAGGAAUGCUUCAUCAGCUUUCUUUGCAAUUCCAAGCCUACGUCUUUUUUCAUAUACCCAUAGUAUGUAACAGAAUGUGUCAUUGGGCCUAUGUGCCUAUAAACUUUAUA
rnacentral:misc_RNA from 1 species